rnacentral:rRNA from 1 species
GAGUUCCUACGGGAGGCAGCAGUGAGGAAUAUUGGUCAAUGGGCGCGAGCCUGAACCAGCCAAGUCGCGUGAGGGAUGACGGCCCUACGGAUUGUAAACCUCUUUUGCCGGGGAGCAAGCGUGCGUUCGUGAACGCGCGUCGAGAGUACCCGGAGAAAAAGCAUCGGCUAACUCCGCGCCAGCAGCCGCGGUAAUACGGAGGAUGCGAGCGUUAUCCGGAUUUAUUGGGUUUAAAGGGUGCGUAGGCGGGAUGCCAAGUCAGCGGUAAAAAUGCGGUGCUCAACGCCGUCUAGCCGUUGAAACUG